AAGAACCAACAGGGAUUACCUCAGUAACGGCGAGUGAAGCGGUAACAGCUCAAAUUUGAAAUCUGGCUCUUUCAGGGUCCGAGUUGUAAUUUGUAGAAGAUGCUUUGGGUGUGGCUCCAGUCUAAGUUCCUUGGAACAGGACGUCAUAGAGGGUGAGAAUCCCGUAUGUGAUUGGUGGCUUUCGCCCGUGUAAAGCUCUUUCGACGAGUCGAGUUGUUUGGGAAUGCAGCUCAAAAUGGGUGGUAAAUUUCAUCUAAAGCUAAAUAUUGGCCAGAGACCGAUAGCGCACAAGUAGAGUGAUCGAAAGAUGAAAAGCACUUUGGAAAGAGAGUUAAACAGUACGUGAAAUUGUUGAAAGGGAAGCGUUGGCAACCAGACUCGUAUGCCGCUAAUCAUCCGGGGUUCUCCCCGGUGCACUUGGUGGUUUUCGGGCCAGCAUCGGUUUCGGUGGUGGGAUAAAGGCCUUGGGAAUGUAGCUUCUUUCGGGGAGUGUUAUAGCCCUCGGUGUAAUGCCGCCUACCGGGACCGAGGACCGCGCUUCGGCUAGGAUGCUGGCGUAAUGGUUGUCAACGGCCCGUCUUGAAACACGGACCAAGGAGUCUAACAUCUAUGCGAGUAUUUGGGUGUUAAACCCAUAUGCGUAAUGAAAGUGAACGGAGGUAAGAGCCCUUAAGGGUGCAUUAUCGACCGAUCCUGAUGUCUUCGGAUGGAUUUGAGUAAGAGCAUAGCUGUUGGGACCCGAAAGAUGGUGAACUAUGCCUAAAUAGGGUGAAGCCAGAGGAAACUCUGGUGGAGGCUCGCAGCGGUUCUGACGUGCAAAUCGAUCGUCAAAUUUGGGUAUAGGGGCGAAAGACUAAUCGAACCAUUGGAAUAACUACUAGGUGGUUAAAAGGCGCAAGUCUAGUCCUGCACAGGGCAACAUUGUCAAAUUGUUCGGGGAUCUCCCGCACUUCUCAGCUACCGCAGCUCGGCGAAAGGCGGCGCGCACCAGGGUAACGCCCUCGGGGAUGGUAAGAACGCUGAAAAGGGGACGAUUCCGCAGCUUCCUCCUAACG
rnacentral:rRNA from 1 species